rnacentral:sRNA from 1 species
CUUGGUCAUUUAGAGGAAGUAAAAGUCAUAACAAGGUUUCCGUAGGUGAACCUGCGGAAGGAUCAUUAAUAAUGCCCUCUGGCUUCGGUCAGCUGGGUUCAAUGUGUGUCAUCUCUUCGGAGAUGGCCAUCCACACACACCGUGAACUGUGACUUCGGUCAUCACAAACUUUUAGUAAUGAAUGUAAAAAUCAUAACAAAAUAAAACUUUUAACAACGGAUCUCUUGGCUCUCGCAUCGAUGAAGAACGCAGCGAAAUGCGAUAAGUAAUGUGAAUUGCAGAAUUCAGUGAAUCAUCGAAUCUUUGAACGCACCUUGCGCCCUUUGGUAUUCCGAAGGGCAUGCCUGUUUGAGUGUCAUGAAACCUCACUCCACUUGGGUUUUUGCCUGAGUGGUAGUGUAUUGGGUGUUGCCUUGCCAAAGGCUCGCCUUAAAAGAAUAAGCACCUUGGAUGUAAUACGUUUCAUCCUUUCGGGUGGCUAAUAACCCCACAUAACUCAUGAUCUGGCCUCAAAUCAGGUAGGGCUACCCGCUGAACUUAAGCAUAUCAAUAAGCGGAGGAAAAGAAACUAACUAGGAUUCCCUUAGUAACGGCGAGUGAACCGGGAUGAGCUCAAAUUUGAAAUCUGGCGUCUUUCAGGCGUCCGAGUUGUAAUCUAUAGAGGCGUUUUCCGCGCCGGACCGCGUCCAAGUCUCUUGGAAUAGAGUAUCAAAGAGGGUGACAAUCCCGUACUUGACGCGACAACCGGUGCACUGUGAUACGUUCUCAACGAGUCGAGUUGUUUGGGAAU